CCUACGGGUGGCAGCAGUGAGGAAUAUUGGUCAAUGGGCGCGAGCCUGAACCAGCCAAGUAGCGUGAAGGAUGACUGCCCUACGGGUUGUAAACUUCUUUUAUAAAGGAAUAAAGUGAGGCAAGUGUGCCUUUUUGUAUGUACUUUAUGAAUAAGGAUCGACUAACUCCGUGCCAGCAGCCGCGGUAAUACGGAGGAUCCGAGCGUUAUCCGGUUUUAUUGGGUUUAAAGGGAGCGUAGAUGGGUUGUUAAGUCAGUUGUGAAAGUUUGCGGCUCAACCGUAAAAUUGCAAUUGAUACUGGCAGCCUUGAGUACAGGUGAGGUAGGCGGAAUUCGUGGUGUAGCGGUGAAAUGCUUAGAUAUCACGAAGAACACCGAUUGCGAAGGCAGCUUACUAAACUGCCACUGACAUUGAUGCGCGAAAGUGUGGGUAUCAAACAGGAUUAGAUACCCUGGUAGUC
rnacentral:rRNA from 1 species